UAUGAUUAAUACGUUAUAGCUUUAAUGUCUCACAUGAUGAAGUGUGUGUGAAAUGUAAUAUACUGUAGUGUGUUUACCAGUUUGUUUGUUUGUUUAAUCGGUCAAUGAUUUGGAAAUGAAAAUGAUUGAGAGACUAAACCGCUGCACGUCAAAAUAUCAGUUUUAAACGAGAAUUUUAUUUCAAAGAUGAUUUCAUGCCAGUUCAUGACGCUGUUAUUGUUAUAAUACUAGACAGAUUUAAAUAUUAGCUCAAUAAAACUCCUGAAAUAUCACAGUAUGAAACUGUAUAAACUUGAAAUGAGUAAAAAAAAAAAAAAAAAAUCAACAAAUUAAACAAACCUCUAGCCUAAGCGGGGAAAAAAAAGUGUAAAAUUACAUUUCAAGGCUUCUAACAAACAAUACACACACACACACACACACACAUGGACAUCAACUGUGAAGGUGUGUGUUCUUCCAUUGUCUAUUUCAUCCUAUUGGAAAAAUAACCUGAUCCCUGCAUUAAGGACUGACGAGACAUUGGACACGAGUAUGAGUGAGGAAAACCCCAUCUCCUAUCUUAAGAAGAAGAAAGUUGAGCUGGAGAAGUUCAAAUUCAGGCUGGAAAACAAGGUCACGGAGCUGAAGAAGCAACUCGAACCACGAGAGAAUGAAGUGAAGGAGAUGAAGGAGCAGGUCUAUGAGAUGGAGGCUGAGCUGGAGCAGUUCCGUGAAAAGUGCACUCGGCUGCAUCGUACCAUCUCUGAGCUGAAGCUGAAGCUCAAAGUCACGACCGAAGAGAGGCAGAAAGAGAGGCAGAGGGUCCGAGAAUUAGAAGCUGUACUGCACAGGUUUAAGACCGAUCUUCACAACUGUGUGGGCUUCAUCCAGGAGCCUGGGUAGCUCAAGGAGAGCAUUCGAGAGAUCUAUGACCGCUAUGUCCAGCUGUCAGAUGUGGUGGAGAUAGUGGGAGUGGACGCUGUGCACGAAGCGAAGAACAUCAAGCUCAUGAAGGAGAACGUCUUAUUAAGAGAGAUUAAGGAUUUCCAGAUGGAGCCGAGGCUGCAAUCCCAAGAGAGGCUUCAGUGAGAACAAGAGCGCCACGCGCAUCAAGCGUGAGUCACAGAGGAUGACUUAACGUCUGUUAUUGUGUUAUUAUAAGAAUUAAUUAUGCGGAAACCACUGUGAGUUACUGUUUAUUUAUUGUUCAUCCUGGAUAACUCGGUUU